GAGAAGGAAGCGGCUCUUCCACUCCCCAGAGCCCCUCCCUGGACAGUGCUUCAGAACCUGGAGGGUUGCAGGACAAUCUCGAGAGCAGCGCGCAGACAUCUGAACCGUGUUUCAGGAAUCAUGCCUUGGAUUCACCACAGUCGGCUAAAACCAGCGGCCCAGGAUCAGUGGAUCAGUCAAUAAGACCCAGACUAUCCAACCCCGCUGAUCCUGCGACAAGACCAUGUAACCAGUAGAAAUAACAGCAGCCCUGCUGUGGCCACUCUGGAGGCUGGCCAGUCUGUGCACAGCAGAAGCUUGAGAAAAACUGUAAGCCCUGCUCUAGUCACACAACCGGAAACUGACUCGUCUAGGCAUGGCCGAAGCUUAAGGGGUCAUCAUCAAAUGAGUAGAUGUGAAUACAAAUUUUAUGUUUAAUUACUAUCUUAGUAUUACUAGUUAUUUUAUUACUAUGCUAUCAUUAUUGCCAAUCUGUCUGUCCAAGGGAGAACUCUUUCUGUCCAUGUUUAGUAUCAGAAUGUUACUUUUUGCCUUGGCUUUAUUUGCACCUAAGUCUAUACAAAAAGAAAAGCACAUAGAUAGUUGCCAUCAGUGCAUGCACACUACAUAAAUAAGAAACACAGUAGUUAAGACUUUAUUGUACCAUACAUACUAUGAAUACACAGAAACCCCUCUGGAGACUUGUAUGUAUAACCAAACAACCUACUCAGUCUGUGACCCAAGGAAUAGCCAGUCUUAUGUAUGCUGGAACCCUAAGCUUUUAUCUAGGACCUGGUUUAAGAUUUGUACCGGGUCAAGGAAAGGAAGUCUCUUAAACCAGACCAAAGUCUCUCUCCCACGAAGGAGACAGAUCUUUAUAUUUUAGUGUUUGCUGGAUAACAUCCAUAGGCUCACUCUUUCCCGUAAUCCACAGUUCCAUGGAGUACUAUAGUAUCUGUUUGCACAGUUGGCUAAAAACAUAGCUAGACAAACUGUCACUCAGCUAAUGGCUUUGUGUAAAUAUCAACCUUUGCUCAAAGAAGAAAACUUGUCUCUUCAUGCAAAAUUAAGUAAUAUUGAGGCCUUCUAGUAAACUCUUUUAUAAAAGGCCUCAAAGGGGGGAAUUAAGCUGGAAAUUUAAAAAAAAAUAACAAAAUUAAAAGAAAGAGAAAUAAGUUUUCCUGUUUUAGGCUAACUUGUCCCAGACGCAGCAACAGGCACAGCCCAGACCUAGGAAAAGUCUUGAUAAUAUUAUCUAAUGUGCUCUGGAGACUCUUCCAGCACUCCCUCAACACAGGGAGAAGAAAAACAAAUUUUCCUUUGUUUUAUUGAAUAAGUAUAUAGAUUCUUGUUCUCUUAACUAGUGACUUCAAGUAUUCUGUUUUAUUUAAGAAGUACAACAAAGGUCAUGAAAAACCUGAGUAGGCCUGAACUACAGGUGCCUGGGCACCACAGUGAAGGUUAUAGGAUAAGCCCGUGCACAGGCAAACCUAGGUAACAAACAUCUGGGUUGCUUGGCAACGGUCAUAUGCAAUCCUGUCCUUGUCCUGCCUCUGGAUCCCUGCUUUCAUGCCACUGUAAGCUUGCUUCAAGCUAGCCCACCCCGUUUUGUGAAGUGUGUAUAAAGUCAGGUGCUGUCUUUGUUCCGGGCCCAGUCUUUUGAACGUGAGUCAGCUGGGCCUGAGUGUACUCAAUAAAGAUUCUCUUGUUUCAA